CAAAGUGUAGCUUAAACAAAAGCACCUGGCUUACACCCAGAAGAUUUCACUUAUUAGACCACUUUGA
rnacentral:tRNA from 1 species